UGUGUAAUUUAUUACAUCGGUAAGCUGCAUCCUGCUUUAUAGAGGAGAGAGGGGCUUCGGGCGGGAUGCUCUUCAUGAGUAGCAUGCCUGCGAAUUUUAAGCAUGACGUCUCCAAACGCAUCCCACAUGUUACCGGCCUUUAUCUCAAGUACGAGGCAAACAAGGUCAUUUAGGAAGGUUGGGAGGUUUAGGCAGCUGGUAUGAAUCCUGAAAUUGCCAUGCACAGCCUAAGCUCACUUAACAUAAAAAUACAUAUCUUCAACUAAACAACACAGAUCUCAUUUUUACCCUAUAGACAAGAAUUAAAAAUCAUUUGUACCUCGCAACACCUUUAAACAAAUAUUUGCAAAGAUUGUAUGCUUGUUGCAUGUUAUAAUUCUCAUUAGUUACCAGUACAUUUUUUUAAAAUUAAUAGGCACGACAAUAAUGUAUAUGAAUAUUACAUUAUAUAUGGUGUCCAUGGAUGGUUUCCCAUUAUCCGCGGUUUCGGUCAUCCGCGGUAGGUCUUGGAACAUACCUGUCGCUGAUACGGGGAACUACUCUGUGUGUGUUGCAUAAAAUGAACUCAAAAUGUGUAUAAACUUCAGAUUGUUCGAUGGGUGUUAUAAAAUCACAUAAACCUCAUUUUCUAGCUGUGGAUAAACAACUUGGUUUUCUUUAUACAGUUUAACAGGCUUAUAGUGAGCACGGUUAUCAACCACUUAUAAAAAGCUUGGGACAGAAUCAUUCCUUUACAAAUACUGUUUAAAUAAUUCGCAUAUAGUAAUCAAGCAGUCCGCUUACGGUGUUCAUUUCGGUUUUUUUUUUUGUACAUGACAACAUAUGGAAAUUUUUUAAACUAUGGAAGGCUUAAUUAUUAUUAUUUUUUACUUUAAGUGCAAAAAAAAACAUAUCUUACCUUGCAGUAACCCAUCUGCUUCUGGCUAGCUACCUGAGGCUAAUGCUGCGUGCACAGCAAACAUGACGGGAAACGGAAAGUAAUUUUCUCUCAAUGACAAAUACAAAUGGAAGCUUCUGAUAAACCGCCAUAAACGAGCCAACAACAUGCAGCAGCGAAACUAUCAUAAGCUAUAUUUUAUGUACAGUAUCGUACUGUAUUAUAGUGUAUUUGAAUUAUACACCGUUCAGUAAUUUGUGCAGUACUGUAAUUUGAAAAAGCUGUACUUCAUUUUGAAAGAGUUAAUAAAAUUAAGUAAAUAGCGACGCUAUUUAUAAAUAUAUAAAUGUCAUUUAAAUGAUUAAUCUGCCUGAGACAUAAAGAAAAAAAUGUUCAUAAUGAUCAUCCCUUUAUAUAGUGACCAAUUUCACUCACACAGACGUGAUCACUAAAAGCGAUUUCCACUCUAACUAUUAUUAUUAUUAUAUUAAAGAAACGACAAUACAGUUUUUGAGGGAGCCAUCUCGUCACAUCGCAACAUAGCGCAUUUCCUUUUUCCUGUAAAGACGACUGAAAAAGGCGGGGCGAGGGGUCUCAAAUCUUUCUUACUAAAAUUUCCUUCAAUCCAAGUUCAUAGGGCCUGUUAUGAGGUCGACUAAGUAUGAGUGUGACUCGUAAUGAUAGUUCGGAAUUGGGUCUUUGCUUGAGAUUUGGGAUUUUAUUUCAUAUUUUCAGCUUCUUUUGGCUACGUCAACAGCGAUUGGACGGUUAAUUUUCCGUAGCCAAUCAUAUGAAAGCGCGCUUAGAACCAGCGCGUUCAUGUAGCAGGUUGAUUAACCGGAGUUCCGUUAACUAGUUAACUAGUUCCGAAGCUUGUGGCGGGAGCUUCCGAUACCGCGGAACCAGUACCGCCAUGGCCGCAGCUGCGAGGUCUUUUCCGGUUAAAAGCCAAGAUGGGAAACAGCGUUACCACGACCUUCCUAAGGCUCUUGACAUAUCAUUUAAGAAUUGUCUGUCUAAUUUGAUGAAACAUAUAGAGAAGAGUAGAUAAGCUGGGAGCAGAGCUGGAAAUUAAACAACUGCCUGAGAUGCUGAAUUACCAGAGAUCCUCCAUGCACUGAAGGAGGUCGUGACGUUGCAGUGCUGAAAGCAGCCAGGGGAAGGAAGCCUGUGACGGGAAGAAGCAGGAAUUCCCCCGCUCUGCUUUCGGAAAAAAGAUUCCGCAGGCCGACCGGGCCAUUGCAGAAUUUGGCAUGUGAAGAUCAGAAAGUGGCCUGUUUGACGUCCAGGAUCCAGGCCCUGUCCCAGCUCGUCUGUGAGUGUGUGCAUGUGUGCAUAUGUAUGUCCUAGCCAGCAGUUAUAUUGGCAGGCAUUCAGAACUUCAGACAAUGAUUCCUGCCCAACACACAUGUAAUUUCCACCCAUUUGUCAUGCUGAAGAGGGCUGGACAGAAAAUAAAAACAGAUUGCUGUUUUUAAAAUCAUCAAAUAUUGUUCCAAGAUUUAAUUGAAUUAAAUUAUAAAUGAUGACUACACAUGUCCUGUUUGCAGUUUACUAAGCUAGAAAAAACAAUGAUCUUGAUUUAUGCAAAAAAUAUUAAACAGCUCUAAAUGUUGUAAAGAACACCUCACAGCUGAAUAUUGUAAAAUAUGUUGCGCAUAUACUGUAUGUUACAUAUAUUAUCCAUGACAUAUUUCUGAAAGCAAUCACCCUUUUUGUUGAGGUCUUUUAUAUGAAGUUUCAAAUUUCCAAAACAUGAUCAAAAAUGUCCUGAGAAUUAUGAACGCAGGGUCAUUUUGGGGUAUAACCUCUAAAAUGUACUGUAAACAUGCUGU